rnacentral:rRNA from 1 species
AUUGAACGCUGGCGGCGUGCUUAACACAUGCAAGUCGUGCGGUAACAGGCGUAGCAAUACGUGCUGACGAGCGGCGAACGGGUGCGUAAUACAUGGGAAUCUGCCCUUUAGUGGGGAAUAACCCGGCGAAAGCCGGGCUAAUGCCGCAUAAGAUCUUCGGAUGAAAGCGGGGGAUCGUAAGACCUCGCGCUGAUGGAUGAGCCCAUGUCGGAUUAGCAGUUGGUGAGGUAACGGCUCACCAAGGCGACGAUCCGUAGCUGGUCUGAGAGGACGGCCAGCCACACUGGGACUGAGACACGGCCCAGACUCCUACGGGAGGCAGCAGUGGGGAAUAUUGGACAAUGGGCGAAAGCCUGAUCCAGCGACGCCGCGUGUG